rnacentral:rRNA from 1 species
GAGUUUGAUCCUGGCUCAGGAUGAACGCUAGCGAUAGGCUUAACACAUGCAAGUCGAGGGGCAGCGAGGGUAGCAAUACCUGUCGGCGACCGGCGCACGGGUGAGUAACGCGUAUGUAACCUGCCCGCAACAGGGGGAUAACCCGGCGAAAGUCGGACUAAUACCGCAUAAAACAGGGGUCCCGCAUGGGAAUAUUUGUUAAAGAUUUAUCGGUUGCGGAUGGGCAUGCGUACCAUUAGGUAGUUGGUGAGGUAACGGCUCACCAAGCCUUCGAUGGUUAGGGGUUCUGAGAGGAAGGUCCCCCACACUGGUACUGAGACACGGACCAGACUCCUACGGGAGGCAGCAGUGAGGAAUAUUGGUCAAUGGGCGAGAGCCUGAACCAGCCAAGUCGCGUGAAGGAUGACUGCCCUAUGGGUUGUAAACUUCUUUUACAAGGGAAUAAAAUGAGAUACGUGUAUUUUAUUGCA